rnacentral:rRNA from 1 species
GCAGUCGAACGAACUCUGGUAUUGAUUGGUGCUUGCAUCAUGAUUUACAUUUGAGUGAGUGGCGAACUGGUGAGUAACACGUGGGAAACCUGCCCAGAAGCGGGGGAUAACACCUGGAAACAGAUGCUAAUACCGCAUAACAACUUGGACCGCAUGGUCCGAGCUUGAAAGAUGGCUUCGGCUAUCACUUUUGGAUGGUCCCGCGGCGUAUUAGCUAGAUGGUGGGGUAACGGCUCACCAUGGCAAUGAUACGUAGCCGACCUGAGAGGGUAAUCGGCCACAUUGGGACUGAGACACGGCCCAAACUCCUACGGGAGGCAGCAGUAGGGAAUCUUCCACAAUGGACGAAAGUCUGAUGGAGCAACGCCGCGUGAGUGAAGAAGGGUUUCGGCUCGUAAAACUCUGUUGUUAAAGAAGAACAUAUCUGAGAGUAACUGUUCAGGUAUUGACGGUAUUUAACCAGAAAGCCACGGCUAACUACGUGCCAGCAGCCGCGGUAAUACGUAGGUGGCAAGCGUUGUCCGGAUUUAUUGGGCGUAAAGCGAGCGCAGGCGGUUUUUUAAGUCUGAUGUGAAAGCCUUCGGCUCAACCGAAGAAGUGCAUCGGAAACUGGGAAACUUGAGUGCAGAAGAGGACAGUGGAACUCCAUGUGUAGCGGUGAAAUGCGUAGAUAUAUGGAAGAACACCAGUGGCGAAGGCGGCUGUCUGGUCUGUAACUGACGCUGAGGCUCGAAAGUAUGGGUAGCAAACAGGAUUAGAUACCCUGGUAGUCCAUACCGUAACGAUGAAUGCUAAGUGUUGGAGGGUUUCCGCCCUUCAGUGCUGCAGCUAACGCAUUAAGCAUUCCGCCUGGGGAGUACGGCCGCAAGGCUGAACUCAAAGGAAUUGACGGGGGCCCGCACAAGCGGUGGAGCAUGUGGUUUAAUUCGAAGCUACGCGAAGAACCUUACCAGGUCUUGACAUACUAUGCAAAUCUAAGAGAUUAGACGUUCCCUUCGGGGACAUGGAUACAGGUGGUGCAUGGUUGUCGUCAGCUCGUGUCGUGAGAUGUUGGGUUAAGUCCCGCAACGAGCGCAACCCUUAUUAUCAGUUGCCAGCAUUAAGUUGGGCACUCUGGUGAGACUGCCGGUGACAAACCGGAGGAAGGUGGGGAUGACGUCAAAUCAUCAUGCCCCUUAUGACCUGGGCUACACACGUGCUACAAUGGAUGGUACAACGAGUUGCGAACUCGCGAGAGUAAGCUAAUCUCUUAAAGCCAUUCUCAGUUCGGAUUGUAGGCUGCAACUCGCCUACAUGAAGUCGGAAUCGCUAGUAAUCGCGGAUCAGCAUGCCGCGGUGAAUACGUUCCCGGGCCUUGUACACACCGCCCGUCACACCAUGAGAGUUUGUAACACCCAAAGUCGGUGGGGUAACC